CAACCCGUACCGCGACCGCAAGUUGGGAUUAGUCCGGACUAGACUAAUAAGAGGAUACACGAGAGUUUUAAGA
rnacentral:sRNA from 1 species